rnacentral:rRNA from 1 species
AACGAACGCUGGCGGCAUGCCUAACACAUGCAAGUCGGACGAAGCCUUCGGGCUUAGUGGCGCACGGGUGCGUAACGCGUGGGAAUCUGCCCGUUGGUUCGGAAUAACAGUUGGAAACGACUGCUAAUACCGGAUGAUGACGAAAGUCCAAAGAUUUAUCGCCAGAGGAUGAGCCCGCGUAGGAUUAGCUAGUUGGUGUGGUAAAGGCGCACCAAGGCGACGAUCCUUAGCUGGUCUGAGAGGAUGAUCAGCCACACUGGGACUGAGACACGGCCCAGACUCCUACGGGAGGCAGCAGUGGGGAAUAUUGGACAAUGGGCGAAAGCCUGAUCCAGCAAUGCCGCGUGAGUGAUGAAGGCCCUAGGGUUGUAAAGCUCUUUUACCCGGGAUGAUAAUGACAGUACCGGGAGAAUAAGCCCCGGCUAACUCCGUGCCAGCCGCCGCCGUAA